rnacentral:rRNA from 1 species
AACGAACGCUGGCGGCAGGCCUAACACAUGCAAGUCGAACGCUCCGCAAGGGAGUGGCGCACGGGUGAGUAACACGUGGGAACCUACCUUCUGGUACGGAACAACCAAGGGAAACUUUGGCUAAGACCGUAUACGACCUCCGGGUGAAAGAUUGAUCGCCGGAAGAGGGGCCCGCGUCCGAUUAGGUAGUUGGUGAGGUAACGGCUCACCAAGCCUUCGAUCGGUAGCUGGUCUGAGAGGAUGACCCAGCCACACUGGGACUGAGACACGGCCCACGACUCCUACGGGAGGCAGCAGUGGGGAAGUAUUGGACAAUGGGCGCAAGCCUGAUCCAGCCAUGCCGCGUGAGUGACGAAGGCCUUAGGGUUGUAAAGCUCUUUUAGCAGGGAAGAUAAUGACGGUACCUGCAGAAUAAGCCCCGGCUAACUUCGUGCCAGCAGCCGCUGUAAC